AUGGGGCCCGUUCUCCACGUGCUGGGGGAUGGCGACAUGAAGCGUAUCUUCCUCCCUCAUCUGGACAGAAUGGUACAGACGGACUCUCUGGUCCUGUUUGACUUGCAUCCCCAAUCACUGCGGCCAGGAAAAAAAAAUGGUUUUUCAUGGAUUGGCCAAUUUUAGUUCCAGGGCCCAUCUCUGCAGUCAAGAGGCGGGGUGUGAUGUGGCAUGGACAGCCUAUAAAAUCGGAUUGUGAUGAUCAUGGAACAACUAUAAAUGUAGUGAAUUCAUUGAGUAAUUAAAAAAAAAAAGAGGUGGAGUCUGGAAAUUGACAGCCCCAACAGAACCCUGCAAAAGGAGGGAAGAAAGAGUCUUCAAAGGAAAUUUGAUUACUAUCACCAAGAGGAGGAGGGAAAGGGG
rnacentral:lncRNA from 1 species